CGUAGGGUCCGAGCGUUGUCCGGAAUUAUUGGGGCGUAAAAGGGCUUGUAGGCGGUUCUUUCACGUCGGAAGUGAAAACUCAGGGCUCAACCCUGAGCCUGCUUCCGAUACGGGGAGAACUAGAGGUAUGCAGGGGAGAACGGAAUUUCCUGGUGGAGCGGUGGAAUGCGCAGAUAUCAGGAGGAACACCGGUGGCGAAGGCGGUUCUCUGGGCAUUACCUGACGCUGAGAAGCGAAAGCGUGGGGAGCAAACAGGCUU
rnacentral:rRNA from 1 species